AACGAACGCUGGCGGCAGGCUUAACACAUGCAAGUCGAGCGCCCCGCAAGGGGAGCGGCAGACGGGUGAGUAACGCGUGGGAAUCUACCCAUCACUACGGAACAACUCCGGGAAACUGGAGCUAAUACUGUAUACGUCCUUCGGGGGAAAGAUUUAUCGGUGAUGGAUGAGCCCGCGUUGGAUUAGCUAGUUGGUGGGGUAAUGGCCUACCAAGGCGACGAUCCAUAGCUGGUCUGAGAGGAUGAUCAGCCACACUGGGACUGAGACACGGCCCAGACUCCUACGGGAGGCAGCAGUGGGGAAUAUUGGACAAUGGGCGAAAGCCUGAUCCAGCCAUGCCGCGUGAGUGAUGACGGCCCUAGGGUUGUAAAGCUCUUUCGCAGGUGAAGAUAAUGACGGUAACCUGAGAAGAAGCCCCGGCUAACUUCGUGCCAGCCGCCGCAGUAACAC
rnacentral:rRNA from 1 species